GACGAACGCUGGCGGCGUGCUUAACACAUGCAAGUCGAACGGAAAGGCCCUGCUUUUGUGGGGUGCUCGAGUGGCGAACGGGUGCGUAACACGUGAGUAACCUGCCCUUGACUUUGGGAUAACUUCAGGAAACUGGGGCUAAUCCCGGAUAGGAGCUCCUGCUGCAUGGUGGGGGUUGGAAAGUUUCGGCGGUUGGGGAUGGACUCGCGGCUUAUCAGCUUGUUGGUGGGGUAGUGGCUUACCAAGGCUUUGACGGGUAGCCGGCCUGAGAGGGUGACCGGCCACAUUGGGACUGAGAUACGGCCCAGACUCCUACGGGAGGCAGCAGUGGGGAAUAUUGCACAAUGGGCGGAAGCCUGAUGCAGCAACGCCGCGUGCGGGAUGACGGCCUUCGGGUUGUAAACCGCUUUCGCCUGUGACGAAGCGUGAGUGACGGUAAUGGGUAAAGAAGCACCGGCUAACUACGUG
rnacentral:rRNA from 1 species